rnacentral:snRNA from 1 species
AACUUUGCGCAAUGGCAGUAUCGUAGGCAAUGAGGUUUAUCCAAGGUGCAAUUAUUGCUAAUUGAAAAAAC